rnacentral:rRNA from 1 species
UACGUAGGGUGCAAGCGUUAAUCGGAAUUACUGGGCGUAAAGCGUGCGCAGGCGGUUUUGUAAGUCUGUCGUGAAAGCCCCGGGCUCAACCUGGGGAUUGCGAUGGAGACUGCAAGGCUUGAAUCUGGCAGAGGGGGGUAGAAUUCCACGUGUAGCAGUGAAAUGCGUAGAGAUGUGGAGGAACACCGGUGGCGAAGGCGGCAUCCUGGACCAACACUGACGCUGAUGAGCGAAAGCCAGGGGAGCAAACGGGG